GGAGGAAACUGCUGGUAUUAGACACAGGAAUUAAACGUAGGAAUGACAAAUUUGUUAAAAUACUUAUUAAGUAGUUGAGAAGCAUACCGACAUAGCAAACCGUUUUAACGCUCACUUCCAGUAAUGAAGAAAUAGCAAAAGAGUCUUAAAAUGUCUAAUAAAAAACCUACACACCACAAUCUCAGGAGAGGCACUUGAAUCUUUGGAGAAUGUUGAUUUUAAUUUUAAAUGGUGAUUCGGAAAGCCAAAGGUUUCUGCCAUUACCAUAAGAUCCAAAUACUCUGCACUGCCUGUAAUAAUGGAAGCAAGUUAGGUACUACAAUUCUAGACGAGACCAACUGAAUCUAACCCUUCUAACACGUGUAUGAAACCGAUAAUAAGCUACUUUAACGCAUUGAUGUUUAGUGGAAUGCCCAGUGGAGUCCGAGUGGUCUUUUGGCCUUGGAACCUCUGGAGGUUUAUUUUCUCCAAUAUUUCUCAAGGUUGAGAUUUUAUUUUCCUGUCCUCAUUGGCUAUCUGACCAUAGUGCCAGACUUAUCGUUUUAAUAAUUUGGUACAUAAAAAAUGAGUUUAGCAAUUACAUUCUGGUCCUCUUCUUGUUGUCUUGCUCUGGCACUCAGUACUACAGCUCUACUUCCAAGCUGUUUUCCAGUCAUUGGACUAAAUGAUUCUGUCAUCGUAUGUAUAUAUAAAGGGGUGGCUGCAGUGGCUCAUGUCUUUGCCCCUUUCCCUUAUUGACUCAAGUGCCCUUUUCACCCAUUAGGACCAAUUGCCCAUUGAACAUUUCUUGUUUUUCAUUGUGAGCAAACUCCUUUUCAUUGUAAUAAACUGGGAAAAAGCACCCAUAAGCAACUUGUCAUGUAAAUCUAGGUAGACUACAGUUUACUAUCCCAUUUGGAAAUAAAGUAUGGUGUAUAGCAGUACUUCCCAAACUUGGUCAUGGGGACCCACUGUGGCUGCAGGUUUUUGUUCCAACCAGAUUCACAAUCAGUGAUAAUAAUCGGUAACAAAUAAUCUCAUUUAAUUAGCUGGUCUUUUUUCUCUUCUCCUAUUUCAAAUUCAGUGAAGCACAACAUUUAUACAGCUAGAAAUGCUUAACUCUUUUAUUGUUUUCCUAUUAUUUUCCUAUUUUUCCCCUUUUUCUGUGUAGUUUGCUCCCUU